UACAGAGGUCUCAAGCGUUGUUCGGAUUCAUUGGGCGUAAAGGGUGCGUAGGCGGCGCGGUAAGUCGGGUGUGAAAUCUCGGGGCUUAACUCCGAAACUGCAUUCGAUACUGCCGUGCUUGAGGACUGGAGAGGAGACUGGAAUUUACGGUGUAGCGGUGAAAUGCGUAGAUAUCGUAAGGAAGGCCAGUGGCGAAAGCAGCUUGCUGGGCUUCUUCUGACACUGAGGUACGAAAGCGUGGGGAGCAAACAGG
rnacentral:rRNA from 1 species